rnacentral:rRNA from 1 species
AUGCGUUUCGAGUCAAUUAUGGAUCAAUCCAAUAAACGAGUUGAUCUUGAGUUCCUGACGAGCUUGACGCCAUCAACUCGGCUCCCCUGCUCCCCCGCUCCCCUGCGCUUCGCGCCGGCCGCCACUCCGGCGCCGGCGGCCACCGAAAGCGCCGCCUUCCACCCCGGAGACGGCGCCCACCCUCCUGCAACGCCAUGGCAUCUAGGGUUUCUCUCUCGGGAUCGGUCUCGUCCGGGUCAGAGGCCCCCUUCCCUCUCCGCCCCGUGCUCCUCUGCCCUCUCCGCCCCGCGCAUCUUCCCCCCUGCGCGGAUCUCCCCUCCUCCGGCGCCGCCGCGGCCGCGGCCCAGGUCCACUGUCGUCGUCCCGGAGAUCUUGGGCACUGCCUUCGGCCCAGUGGUCCAGGGCGGGGCUGGAUCCUCGCGAGCUCCGGUUCCUCCGCCGGCGGAUGGGGGCUGGCAGACUAAGGUGAGCCAUCGCCCGCGCGCCGCGCCUGCCUGCGUCUCGCGUCCGAGGUGUCGCCGCCCGGCCCGGGGGGCGCGCGUGCUCACUGCCGCCCGCCCGCCGCCUUCCUCCAGGCUGCCGACCGAGUUGUAUGGCUGCUGCUACAACUGUGGCAGCGAGGGCCAUAUCUCAAGGGAGUGCACCAACCCGACAUUCUGCGUCCGUUGCCACGGUGCCGGCCAUAUUUCGUGUGGGUGCACUCGGCCGCGCAGUCCGUCUCCGGUGGAGCAGCCGCCGCGCCUGCCGUCGGCGCUCCGUCUUUGGGCGGCUGUUGACGCGCCCUCGCUGCUUGCCUCGCCUCGUCGCUCGCCCUCGGUCUUACCUCAUCCGCCGUCGGGGCCACCACCGCCGGGCGCGGUGCGCUUGUGGAGCCAUGUGGUGCAGGAGCCACCUGCGGCAUCGUCGAAGAGAAGGGCGUUGCCUGUGUUCACGGUGCAUUUUGACCUUCUGGAGGGCACGCUGCCUCGGCCGGAGCUGGAGCCGAUGGAAGUGACGACACGCGGCGGCUGGAGGCGGAGUUGGCGAGAGCUGUGCUUGUCACAGUGA